rnacentral:rRNA from 1 species
GACGAACGCUGGCGGCGUGCUUAACACAUGCAAGUCGAACGGAAAGGCCCUGCUUUUGUGGGGUGCUCGAGUGGCGAACGGGUGAGUAACACGUGAGUAACCUGCCCUUGACUUUGGGAUAACUUCAGGAAACUGGGGCUAAUACCGGAUAGGAGCUCCUGCUGCAUGGUGGGGGUUGGAAAGUUUCGGCGGUUGGGGAUGGACGCGCGGCUUAUCAGCUUGUUGGUGGGGUAGUGGCUUACCAAGGCUUUGACGGGUAGCCGGCCUGAGAGGGUGACCGGCCUCAUUGGGACUGAGCUACGGCCCAGACUCCUACGGGAGGCUGCAGUGGGGAGUCUUGCACAAUGGGCGGAAGCCUGAUGCAGCAACGCCGCGUGCGGGAUGACGGCCUUCGGGUUGUAAACCGCUUUCGCCUGUGACGAAGCGUGAGUGACGGUAAUGGAUAAAGAAGCACCGGCUAACUACGUG